GGUUAGCUUUGAUAGUCAGAGUAAAUAUUCCUUCGAAUGCUAGCACCAGCAACGAGAUCGACAGGUACCAAUAGGCAGGAUCGUCCUUAAUGGUCGUGACUCUCCAUAUCGCUGUGAAAUGACCUGGGAUGUUCCCGACUGUUGACGAAAAAAUUCAUUUUCUGAGGGCGCCACAUUUUUCGGCGCAUGACGGCCAUUGCUUGUAGAUGAUCCACUAGAUCGACUUCGUACAUAUAUCCAAAACCCUUUGGUGAUUAACGACGUGCUGGCAGCCACAGCGAUUGGCAACCUUUUCUCAACAUGAGUUAUUGAUUAUCCAGUUUGAAAACGUUAUGUUACGGCUAAAACAGUGUGAGAUCUGCAUUCGUUUCUAUAAGCUAUACAUCUAUCCUUUCUGAAUGGC